rnacentral:piRNA from 1 species
UNGGAUGCUCGCACCGUGGCUAAAACCUC